CACACACACACAUAAUUGUAAAUGUAAACAUUCAUUGCUCCGUUCAGAAUCUGUACCUAAUCUGGUUAUAUUAUUAUACCCGGGUUGUUUUUUUUUUGCAGUUGUAAAACGAAAUUAACUCGAUUUGUCCUUUUACGGAGCAACGGUCGUUUAUACCUAAUUAGAAAAAUAAAAAACUCUGCAGCAAUAACACUGCGAUUUGACAUUCCUCGAAAAGGAUAAUACGUGAGACGGACUCGCGGGGUCUGGAAAAUAAAAUGAUAAAUAAUACGAUGUAAAUUAUACAAUGACGCUUUUAAUGAACUGCAGGCAACUGGUACGACGAUAGACCUACUGUAAUUAUCAUGACGACCAAAUUGAAUUUGGCAAUAAUAAUAUUACGUUUUUGUUUUUGAAACAAACUCCGAUACAGUUUUAUCGCGCGCCGUCACAGCUAGUAUUUUAAUAAUAUUGUCGAUUAAAUCAACAACAACAACAACAUUAAUAAAAACUAUAACAUCAGCAACAACGAAAACUGAAAAAACAAAUGCAAAAACCGUAGUUAUAAUAAUAAAACUACUAAUUAUUGUUUUGUGAUUGAUUUUGCUGCACGAAAUUGUAAUGUAAGCUCAUAUUAUACACUCGUGUAUGUGUUAUAAUAUAGGUACUAUCAUCUAUUCGCAGGAAUAAUAAUAUAAAGUCCUUUAAAAGGCCCGUAAUUGGUUAUGGUCUACAAUGACGUUAACACAAUAUCAUAUUAACAUUAUUAUUAUAAUUACAACAGUCAAUUGUACGGUUCACAGUGUAUGCGAUUUGAAUGGUGGUAUAAUUGCAACGUUGUGUCAUAAUUUUUUAGCUACACACGUAUGUUAUACGACAUAAUAUUAUUGUAAAGUAAUGGGCCCACCGAUGGUCGUCCACGAGUCCGCAAGAAUCGGUGAUGGUUAUGCUUAUCAUUUAUCAUGUAUAUAAUAUAAUAUUGGGUACUUACUUACAUUAAACGCACUGGGUUCACGCUAGUGAUUUUAGCCAAACUUGGUUGUAUGUGAUUUGCGACAUAUCGGACAGCUUGCAAGACGCACUAGGUACAUGAACUCACAUUUUGAUGGAUCAAAUUUGUAAAAUUUGCAUUUUCAUAAAUAAAAUCACGCAUGUGAGAAUAAUCAAGUAAAAUAUUGUAUAAAAGCGAACUCAGCUCUUUAGAUAAAAAAAAAAAAAUCGUGGUUGAUGCGGUAGGUAGUAUUUUUGUUGUGUUAAUAAAUUAUUUUAAAAAUUUUAAUUAAACACAACCGAAAAAGAAAUUCGAACAAUUUAUAAGAUAUUAUUUUACCUAAAUAAAAUAAAGCAUCUAUAACGGAGUACAUAUUAUACUAUAUAUAAUAUGUAUACCUAUACCAUCUCAUACAUAUUGGAAGAUCCGGUUUAUGAUUCAUCUAUAUUAUAUUUUCAUAAUUUAUAUUAUGCCUCACGACCUCUUUGAAUUUCGUCUGAGAAAGUAAAGUGAUAUAUUAUUUGUUUUUAAUAAGUUCGUACAAGUAAAACAGACUGAACCAUAAUAUAUUACAAUACUUGUAAGUUGCAAGUAUGUUGUAAUAUAAUAUAAUCGAUAUUGAUUAAAACAAUAACCAAUAUCACCUAUCGAUUACAAAAAUUGUUUUCAAAUAAAACAAUUUUCAUAGCACAAGGUAUCUCACAUUUUUUCAAACAAUUUAUCGUUAUGCAAGACGUCGAACAUCCAAAGUUGUAAAUCGCAUUCGACAAAACUAUUAUUCUUGAACGCUUUGAACUGUUCGAGUAAACCAGAAAACAAAACUGAUCGUAUUUGGGGGGAAAAGUGGUCCUCAUAAAAACAACGUAAUAAAAUGUGGGACAAAAAUAAAGUACGAAAAUGGCAAGAGAGGAAAUCUAUACACAAAUGUGAGAAAAAAAACUCUGACUGUGACCCACCUCCAUAUUAUUAUCUAUCCCACCCAAAGAUUUACCUGCCACUGUUACAUCAUUAUGAUACAAUAUAUUACGCAUGGUGGUUUGAAAACCUUGGAUGGAUAAAGUGGAGACAAACGAUCAAAUACCGAGCAGUUCGUGAUCCAUUUAUCAAAAUAAAAUAAAAACCGCACACGGCGCCGUGGCAUCUUUACGGGACGUUUUUCAUUCCAGCCUAGUCUGGGUCUUCUGAUAAUCCGUCACAAUUUAUAAUAUAUUAUUAUAAGGCCAUGAAAUUUAAAUAUAAAUACAUUAUAUAUGCAAACUUUUGUUAUAAUAAUAAUUUGUAUAAGAAUUAUUAAUUCAGUAAUAAUAUUAUAUUAUUAUUACACACAAUAUUACGUUGGCAAACACCACUCUAUAUAACUACUUUAUUAAUAUCUAUAUAAUGUUAUAUAAUAUUAUGAUCAGAGGUGUAACAAGUCUAUUGUUGCGAGGUAUGAGGCCCUAAGGCUUUUGGAUUCGCAUAUUAUAUCCGCUGUGGCACUGUGGAUUUUCUUUGGUUCAACAUUCAUAUAUUCGAAUGAAUGUUUGAAAGUGAUUUUGUUCCACAAUAUUUCCUAACUUCAACUUUGGUAAACGAUAAACAUCUAGUAAGUACAAUUACAUCGUUUCACUAUUGAAUAGCAUGCAGCGAAUCUUGUAUAUAUACUUGGAACGCAUUGUCCUAAAGCUCCCAAAAAAUAAUGCACUUUAAACCCUAUAUAGUCAUAAGACAUUUUAUGCCGUCGUCGCGGAUGCACAGUCGCAGUACUACAACAACAUCAAUGAAGUCGUUAAAAUAUUUUCCUGUACUUAUACCCACCAUAAUAUUAUAGAGUAAAGAAGACUGGUAAAUGAUAUAUAAAUGUACUAAUUAUUAGGUGUAUGAUGGGUGCAGCGUCGCGCCUACUGUCUGGUUGAAAAAAAAUAUCGUUACGGACAUAUUAUUUUACGCAAUAAUUAUUAUCAUUAUUUGAGUCGUGAAACGUUAACACAUUCGUUUAAUCCCUCCGAAGCCUAUGUGCACACCACAAUUAACAUGUCGUACGCCCGUUUUAAUUUUUAGUUUUUAUACGAUCGAUAUUAUUUAUUUUUUUUUACAAGAAUAUCAUUAUUUUUUAAAUGGUGUGUUUACAAGCAAAUAAUAUGAUAUUAUAUACCUUCGUAAAUCUACGCGUUCGAACGAACAAAAUCGUUAAAAUACAGCGGUGUAUCAUACCUAAAGGUUGUUAUGGACACUUCGUGUAGAACGAUACAGCUGUUGGAAUAUAUUUUUAGUAAACCAUUCCUAUAUGUGUGAAGGAAGGGGUGAUGCGAAUAUUUAAAGUCGUAUGUAAUAUAAAAUGAUAAUAGGUAUUCAGAAGAAAAAAAUUGUUCACAUUAUUUAUUUCAAUUUGAUUUUAUUUUAUUCAAAACUCUGCAAAUUAUUAACUAUCGACACACGGGUUAAUUAAUGUACCUACCUAUUAUAAUAAAAGUGCAUUACACGGGUUUUUCGUUAAAUAAUAGUUUGAACUUGAGCACUUUCACAAGACAAUUAUUUGUAAUCGUGAUAACCGUCAUCUAUCACGCAUUUUUGAAUUUCCAUUUUUGAAACUCUCAACGAUUAAGAAUGAUAAUGCAAUAAUAUAAAUUGUAUGUGCAAAGAACAUUUUGAAAUUUGUUGUUAAAUGAAAUUGUUUUUGUUAAGAGAUAGCUACUAAUGCAAUAAUUGAGUAUCCAUAUGAUACUCACAUGAUAUCACAUAUCAACCACGUGGAAUACAAUAUUAACCAUUAUAGUUGGAGACACGUGAUUUUACAAAAACACGAAAAAACAAGUCAUUAGACAUAGCGGCUAAGCACCAUUAGAGGUAUAAAUUACUAAUAAUUAAAUUAUUCAAUUUCACGGAUCAGAAUCUUGGAUUUAUUCAAGGGGGUAGGUUAAAUUUCUAACUAUAUGAAGCUAUGAAAAUGUUUAUUAUAAAGUGUUAAGGGUAGUUAUGCGUAAUUCCCAUAAAAAAAAUUAAUUCCAUACACAGCUUAAUUCAUUAAUAUUUAUCGUCAGGGUUUGUCAAUAAUGCAUAGGUACUAAACCAAAAUAUUAAUAUUUAUUAAUCAUAAAUAUUAAUAUUUUGCUUUUAUCAUAAUUAUGACUCUUAAUUUUUAAUAAAACGUAUACUUUAAAAUAAACUUUAUUAUUUGAAAACUACAACAUUUUAAAUCGAUACCUACCUAAUUUUUUUUUCUUUCGUUUGAACUCACCCCAUUUUUUCCUGCUUGUAUCCGCCGCUGAUUUAAUUUAUUGAAGAUAAUAUUAAAUAAUAAAAAUGCCGUGUUUUCUGUUUCUAUUUUUUUUUACCCAUUUAUAACACGGCCGGAUUAGGUAACCUGCACAUUAUUACAGGUUAUUUUUCAUAUCUGCACACGAAAACUUACAUAAUUAUAUUUUACGCGUUCGUGUUCUACACGUACCAAUUAAUGUCAGAUCGAGUUUGAAAAUAAUUUUCGUUUUCCAUUUGUAAAAUCGUAAUGUUAUGCCAUUUUUGUGCCAUUUUCAUGUCAGGUAGGUGUAGGCUAUAGGCAGGCAUAUUAUAAUAAUCAUAAUUCUCGACCGCAGGAAAUAAAAGUAUUAUAAUAUCCACCACGCAGUAUAAGAACUGCAGUGUAAGUAUAUCGUUAUUACGUUCAAAUUACAUUCGAUCAAACCCGACGAUAGCUGUUGGUGUAGUACCUAUACAGUGCAAGUUAAAAAAAAGCGAAAAUGUUUAGGUUGUGCUGAAAAAAAAUUAACAAUCGUCAUGACAUAACCACUGUACACGAAUUAUAUAUUUUAAAACCCGGUAGGAAUUUUAAUGUAGUAUAGUACCUAUGUAUGUAUAAUAUAAUAUGUAUGGUUUAGAAUUUAAUGGUAUUUUGCCGUUUACGCAUGCGAUAUGCACAUUUGCAUUUUCAACUUUUUCAACUUUACGGCCGAAGAGGCGCAUGAAAAAAUAAUUAAUUUAAAAAUGCAUUACAGUUUCUACUGCUGCAGUUGUAAAGUUCUGUAGUACAUUAUUUCAACUGUCGGGGAAGCAAUGCCCCGACACUUUUGUACUGCUUUAUGCGCGUUGUGCACGGCAUGGAAUUUCUCGUUUAUAAUAAAUAAUAAUAUUAUAUAUAUUAAAGACUAAAAUAAAAACAAUCACGUCACGAUAUAAACGGCCUAGAAAAGUAUUAAAAUUGAGUCCGUAUGGUAUUUUGUAUUCUACAUAACACACAACUUAUUAUUAAAACAGUAAAGCGCCUUACAUGUUUGUAACGAUACAUAUUAAUUAACUAUUUUAUGUUGAACUCUAAAGACUAAAACAAUCAAUGAAAUAGCCAUCAAAAAGAUCGUCCUGUGGCAAACUCUAACCAAAUACCAAUCUCAUAUCGUCUCUUGUAGCUCACUUCUUAAACACUUCCGUGAAAUCCUACCAGACAUUACAAACGCAGCUCGGCAGUUACUUAUACAUAUAUCAAUAUGAGCAUAGUUUGUAUAUGACUUAAAACUUAUGAUCAUGUAAAGGUGACAAAUUAACUUACUGUGAAAAAAAGAACAGAUCGUAAAUAUUUAGUAAACAUUUAUACUAAAAACAACAAAAGUUGUUAUAGUAUGGGUGACAAGACCACAAGUGGGAACUGCAGCAACUUAUUUCUAAAAAUAAUAACUCUUAGGGCCGGUUGCACAAAACUAUAUUGGUUCAAUUAAUAGUUAUUGGUCCAAUAAGUUGAGUUAUUGAAUCGAUAAAAAUUAAAAUACGUUGCACAAAGUUAUUGAACCAAUAAGUUAUCGACCAUUAGUCACUAUUGAUCCAUAAAUUUAUAGGCCCGAUUUUGGUCCAAUAA